rnacentral:siRNA from 1 species
UGAUUGAGCCGUGUCAAU